UACGUAGGGUGCAAGCGUUGUCCGGAAUUAUUGGGCGUAAAGAGCUCGUAGGCGGUCUGUCGCGUCUGCUGUGGAAACUCAGGGCUUAACCCCGGGCCUGCAGUGGGUACGGGCAGACUAGAGUGCGGUAGGGGAGACUGGAAUUCCUGGUGUAGCGGUGAAAUGCGCAGAUAUCAGGAGGAACACCGGUGGCGAAGGCGGGUCUCUGGGCCGUAACUGACGCUGAGGAGCGAAAGCGUGGGGAGCGAACAGG
rnacentral:rRNA from 1 species